rnacentral:rRNA from 1 species
CAGGCCUAACACAUGCAAGUCGAACGAGACCUUCGGGUCUAGUGGCGCACGGGUGCGUAACGCGUGGGAAUCUGCCCCUUGGUUCGGAAUAACAGUUAGAAAUGACUGCUAAUACCGGAUAACGACGUAAGUCCAAAGAUUUAUCGCCGAGGGAUGAGCCCGCGUAGGAUUAGCUAGUUGGUGUGGUAAAGGCGCACCAAGGCGACGAUCCUUAGCUGGUCUGAGAGGAUGAUCAGCCACACUGGGACUGAGACACGGCCCAGACUCCUACGGGAGGCAGCAGUGGGGAAUAUUGGACAAUGGGCGCAAGCCUGAUCCAGCAAUGCCGCGUGAGUGAUGAAGGCCUUAGGGUUGUAAAGCUCUUUUACCCGGGAUGAUAAUGACAGUACCGGGAGAAUAAGCUCCGGCUAACUCCGUGCCAGCAGCCGCGGUAAU